CCCGGCGCUCUCCUGGGGACAUAAUGCACUGUGGGAUUGCUGGUGGUGGAGAAGUUCACGGGGUGUGUGAACUUGCUCCUACAAGAUGUCUGUGCAAGAGCAGUGUGCGCCUCUCUGAGAGCUGAUAAGAGACCUCUCCACGGAGUUAGACCACGGCAGUGGAAAAUAGUGGGUGCUGCAUGCGGGGAGGGGAGGAUGCAGUGAGGGGUGGCCUUGGGGCACGCUGGGCCUGAGUGCGGACAGCACAGGACAGGGCCAGAGAUGUGGCCCUGCCAGACUGGCUGGGCCCUGGGGCUGUGGAAGGAACUUGGGGUUUUGUUUUGACAGCAGUAGAAACUGUACGAAGGCUUAAGUCCACACAAGGCAUAAAUUCGCUGGGGUUUUUAGCAGCCCUAAUAGCUGCAGAGACUGGAAAUAUGUGAAUCAGUGAGCCCCUUGGGAAGACAGGGGGAUAACUUGAAUGAGGGAGUUGCUGAUGAAGAUGCUAAGAAAAAAGGAUGGGGUUAGCAGAGGAGGGGUGGGAGAGGAAGCGGGAGCAGUACCUGCGGGGGAGAGGCUGCAGCAUGGAGCAGGGGAGGGGACCGUGGGCCAGGCACGAGAUUAUACCCAGCCACGAGGAGCCGUUGUGCCGUGCCAUUCAACAGCUGCCCUCACACAGCACGGUCCUUAUGUGUGCUUGGCCGUUUGUAACUGUGUUUUGCAUGCUUGCCCCACUUAAUCCGGGAAACUACCCUGUGAAGACGGUGCUAUUGCUUGCAACGAAUGCGUGGGUUGAGCACCUGCUCUGGGUAUCCAACCACUAAGAGGUGGAUCUGGGUUUUAUACCCUGAAUUCUGGUCCAGAGUGUAACCACCAAGCUAUCCCACCAUGGAAGCUUUUUGAGCAGGAGAAGGACGUGACCAGGGCUGUGACUGGAAAAUCGAUCUGGUGGCGGGGAGCAAGAAGGAUGAGACCGGGGAGAGAGGCUUGGAUGUGAGUAGUUCAAAUGGCUGCGGUGAGGUUGGGGGUCUGAGACACAGUGGGAGAAGAGGAAGGGGCAGGGAAGGGUGAUCUGCGGGGCACCUCGCAUAGAUGGGGUGUAAGACGUGUACCAGUUCUCUACUGCUGCCGUCACAAUCUACUUUACACACAGAGGAUUAAAAAACACCCACUUUGAAAUCUCCUACUUCUGUAGGUCAGUGGGCAGGCAUGACUGGUUUCUCUUAGACUCAAAGCUGAAAUCAAGACAUUAGCCAGCUCGGACUUGGGACACCUCACACCCAUUCCUGAGUUCUCUUUUCGUUUGUUACUAGAGAUUGAACCCAGCGCCUUCACACUGAGCUUCAUCCCCAGACGGGGUCUCACUAACUCCCUGAGUUGCCCGGGUUGAGUUUGAAGCUGCAAUCCUUCUGCCUCAGCCUCCCGGAGGGCUGGGGUUACCGGCACGGUCCACGAACCAGGGCCUCAUUUUUCUUGUCAGAAUUCAAUCCCCUGCUGUUGUAAGACUAAAGUCCCUGUUUCCUUGUGCGGUAUCACCUAGUCACACUCAGCCCCUAGAAACUACUCUCUGGCCCCUCUGUCUUCAAGGUCAAAAACAGUGGACCAUUCUCUUGCUUUGCGUACCUCCCACUUCCUCUUCUGCCAGCAGCCAGAGAAAAUUCUCCACCUUUACAUUUAUGUAUAUAUGUAUGUGUUUACUUAUUUUUGAGGCAAGGUCUCACUAUGUCAUUCAGGAUGGCCAUGAACUCACUGUGUUGUCCAGGCCGGCCGUAAACUUGGGGUUCUCUGCCUUUCAUGGGCCCCCGAGUCAUCUUGCUUUUGCCAUGUGACAAUCAUGGGGAUGAUAUGUAGCUGGGAUAAGGGGCCAUCUUAAUAUCUGUGCAACCAGUCUGUGUUCCUGGGUCUUGGGAGGCUGUGUGAGGAGGGACAUAGGAAGAGGUGGUGUGGGCAGGGGGCCUGAGAUUUGGGAACUGAGUCACUGGGAACAGAGUGGCUGCAGGACCUGUGCUCAGGACAGUGGGUAAUGAGUGAGGUGGGCCUUGCAGUGGACACGUAAAGCAGUCAGCAAGGGGCACUUCCUCUCAGCACAGUGAUGAUGUGACACUGACUUUCACCUUUGUAUCAAGACUUACCACACAGAGAGAGAGAGCACUAAUGCUGACGUCUGUGCCUCUGCCACACAGACGAGGGUUUCCAGCCUCCCUACUCCAGAUUCCCUGUGCUCUGUCUGUGUCAUUAUUUCCUCAUCAACGACCACUAUUCUGACCUUGAUUGCCACAGACCACUUUGCUGGUGCGUGGACUUCAUCUAGACAGUCAUAUAGUAUGUCAGUGCGAGUCUCAUCAACUCACUGGUGAUGGGUGGGGCUAUAGCUCAGCGGUAAAGCAGGUGCUUGGCAUGCACAAGGCCUGGGUUCAGUCUGCAGCACCCAAGAAAGAAAUUUAUGGGGUGCUCGCUGUGUUCCAGAUACCCUGCCAGACUCUGGGGUGCAGCCGUGAUGAGACAGACAACUCGUCCCAGCCUCGUGAACCUAAGCUCACCCCAGAAGUAGAGUUUUACUGUUGGAGGCUGCCAGAUAACCUAGGUUAGAGCGUGGGCAAAGAAGAAAGAAGGCAGAAGCUAGGCAUGGUGGUGCACACCGGCAACGCCAGGUACAUAAGAGGCUGAAGCAGGAAGACUAAGUCCGAGCCCCUCCUGGGUGACUUCAUGAGACCCUGUCUUAAAAUAAAAAUUUAAAAAGGGGAUGGGGAUGUAGCUCAGUGAUAGCAUACUUGCCUAGCACUUGCAAGGUCUUGGGUUUGAUGCCCAGUACUGCAAACCAACCAACAACAACAACACAAAGAGGGUAGAGAUGGAACAGUGGGAAAGGUGAAGGGUGGGGAAGUCGGAGCCUGAAAGAAUCGAAGGGCAGAGUGUCGCGGAGGCCAAAGAAAGGGUUCUUCAGCAGGGAGGGCGUGAGCAGCGGUGUUGCAUCCGCUGAGCGGUUAAUUAACACAUGUGUAUGGGGUGCCGCUCGGUGCAAGGUGGAGAGGAGUACAGAGCCCUGCAAAACUCCCCUAAUGAUGACCUCUGCCGCGCCCAGAGACAUAAGGGAAGGCCCAGCGGGGCACCAGGACGUUCAGAUGCCGUCAUGAUACUGCCCAGCUUGCAUCCUCUGUGCUUUCUGUGCCAUGGAGGCUAAGGUUAGAGCCCAGGGUUCAACUCCCGGGGACAUCCGCGACCUCCCGCUUUUACCCUGCCCUGUCACUCUGACCGCAGGCGCCCUGGCCUUUUCCUGACCUUGUCCCACUCCUUCCUACUUCAGGGCCCCUGAACACAUAAUUUCCUCUGCCUAAAAGACUUUUAUCCCCCUCUUAGAAAGACCUAGUUAACUCUACUUGCUGUUAUUCACCUCUCAUAGCAAAGCUCAUCUCUUUAAGUUGCCUUUCUGAGGGCUGGGGAUGUAGCUCAGGGGUUCCGCCACCUGCCUCGUACGUGCAAGGUUCUGAGUUUGAUCCCUGGUGCCAAAAAAUAAAGAAGCCUUGCUGACUUUCCUGCUUAAAAGAGCUCCCUGUCUUACACUCCCACGGCUUGCUCUGUAGAACUUCCUUUCCUGGGGAGGGGGAAGGGAAAUAAAAGGAGCACAACCAUUGUGUACUGCAGUCAUGUGCUAAUAAAAAUAAAAUUCAAAAAACAACUUUCCUAACACAUCUUUGGUGAGUAGUUGUGCAGCUCUAUGACCACUGCAUGUGUGUUUACUACUCUGAAGCGUUCGUGACCCCAGUGAGAGAGGGACCCGCCUGUCAGUGAUUCCUGAGCACUCCUUAGAGAGGCCUGUGUGGAUGAGCUUCUGACUGUGGAUCCAGGAGCUAUAUGACCUUGGGGAUGGGCUGGGCUCAGCUGGGCAAUUCUUCUGCACUUUGAGAUGCUGGCUGCGUUCACACGUGCAUCUGUGCUUAUCUGGAAAUGGAACUAAGCGUGGGGUAGCGACACGUGGCCCCUCUAACCCUCGAUGCUGCUUCUGGCUGGAGAGCUCUGGUCCCCUCACCCCUGUCUGGGCUUCUCUGCAGCGGAGUGGAGUCCAGCCUCUUCACAUGGGAGCAGCUUCCCAACCAGUCCCUUUUCCAGGAGAAACUUGGUUUGUUUACCUCGGCUGCUGAUUUCCUUAGUGGAGAUAAACAGCAGGACAUGUGGUCCUCUGUUCCGUUAAAGAGAACAUGAAAUACUCAGCCAUGAAAUGAGCACGCCAUCUCUUACCGCCAUCUGAACGAGCUGGUCCAGGUAGGGGACGGAGCUCUUUCUGACAGUGAAGUGCACAGCGCCUCGAUGCCGCUGGGAAGUCGGGAAUCCGCAGGAUAACAUUUUCCCAGGAUUCUCUGCAGUAUAGAACGACUUUAACUCAUCUCAGCUGACUCUCACAACAACCCUAAGAGAGCUGGGCGCAGUGGCAUUCACCUGGGACCCCAGUACUUGUGAGACUGGGGAAGGAGGAUCGCUGUGAGUUCAAGGCCAGGCUGGAUUAUAU